GACUCACGCGGGAAUCUUACCGGGUCCGGACACACUGAGGAUUGACAGACAAAUACACACACUACGGUGUGUGCAUGAAAUAUGCUAGUUCUUUCAUGAUUAUGUGAUAGGUGGUGCAUGGCCGUUCUUAGUUCGUGGAGUGAUCUGUCUGCUUAAUUGCGUUUCACUAAAGGCACAUACACAUAAUAUUGAUGUGUUGUGUG
rnacentral:rRNA from 1 species